rnacentral:rRNA from 1 species
UUUGGUGACUUGUCGCGAGGGUCACACCUCUUCCCAUUCCGAACAGAGAAGUUAAGCCUCGUUGAGCCGAUGAUAGUCUUCGGGCAAAAGUAGGUAGUCGCCAGAA